AGAAUCCACGCUGGCGGCGUGCCUAACACAUGCAAGUCGAACGAGAAAGGGGAGCAAUCCCUGAGUACAGUGGCGAACCGGGUGAGUAACACGUGACUAACCUACCCUCGAGUGUGGAAUAACAUCGGGAAACCGAUGCUAAUACCGCAUAACAUCGCAAGAUCAAAGGAGUAAUCCGCUUGAGGAGGGGGUCACGGCUGAUUAGCUAGUUGGCGGGGUAAUGGCCCACCAAGGCGAAGAUCGGUAUCCGGCCUGAGAGGGCGCACGGACACACUGGAACUGAAACACGGUCCAGACUCCUACGGGAGGCAGCAGUGGGGAAUUUUGCGCAAUGGGGGAAACCCUGACGCAGCAACGCCGCGUGGAGGAUGAAGCCCCUUUGGGCGUAAACUCCUUUCGACCAAGACGAUAAUGACGGUACUGGUGGAAGAAGCACCGGCUAACUCUGCGCCAGCAGCCGC
rnacentral:rRNA from 1 species